AAAGUGCGACAAGUGUCACGACUUGCAGACACCCGAGAGCUGACAAAUUUCUGAAUGCAAAUUGCAGCCAAGUUAAUCUGGCUAUGCAUUGCAGAGAGUACUUCGCGUAUGCGCUUACUCCAGUUGAUAGUUGAGUUCAGUCUUAAGACUGGCACUCCUGGGACAUGCGAGACUGAGCCUCGUUGACGCGUGCUUCAUGCACGCGACCGGGCUCUCUCUUGUUAAAGUCAGAAAACCAUCGAGUUUUCCUGAAUUACUGAGAAAAAGAGUUUAACCUCUUACCCUCUCACCUCUUACCUCUGCAAUGUAGGAGAACCCGCUGAACUUAA
rnacentral:misc_RNA from 1 species